AAGGGGAGACAAGCUACCAUUCCAGAUAACAGGUAAUAUGUAUGGGUUUGUGUAUGUAAGCCUACAUUCAAAUGUGUGUGUGUAUUUAUAGCUUUAUGUUGUAAAUGUAAGUCUGUGCUUGUGUCUGUAUAUUAUCUAUAUAUUUAUCUAUGUAUCUAUCGCUGUAUAUUGUGUAUCUAUUUAUGCCUGUAUGUGUGUAUGCAUCUAUCCAUGUAUGUUUGCAUGUCUGAAUAUUGUGUAUUUCUGACUGUUUGUUUUGUAUGUACUGUAUAUACUGUGUGUAUACCUUAAUGCUUUGUGUGUGUGUGUGUGUGUGUGUUUAUAUAUUUAUAUGUGGGUUUGUAUGCAUGCUUGUGUGUUAUGUUGUCUCUAACUUUUGCAUGCAUUUAAAGUGACCUCCAUAUCUGAGUGAAAGCAGUGACAGUUUUCAGUGCUCCCCCAGCUGCCUAUGACAGAGGAGGAGGAGGAGGAGGGUGUUGAAUUGGAAGAGGAGGGGGUGUUUGGAAAAUUAAUAGCUUUAAUCGCUUUUAACACUUGGUGCAUGCAAUGAUCUUACUGAGAAAGGUAAUUUACUAAAACUGGCAGCUCUGGGAUUUUACCCUCUGGGGCACUCUGUAUAUGGGCUGUAACUGCUGGGAUUCACAGAGUGCCAGAUGUUAGAUAGCAUUCAUAUAUGACAUGGGCUGCCAAAAGGAAUACCAUCGGCUGCUUUUGGACUACAACUCUCAAGAGGCUUUUAUUGCUUUUAUCAAGCCUGGCAAAGCAUCCUAGUACUUAUAGAUCUAAAGAAGCUGGGAGCCUGGCUUCUGUUCUCCCCUGACAUAGAUCACAUCAGCAUGUGUGUCUGUUAGACUCAAGCUGCUGCAGCACCUCUUAAAAUGUACAACUGACUGACAAUGGAAGUGGUACUUAGCGAAGUAAGGGAAAUGCUUUCAAAAAUGGUGCUGUAGCAAUAGUCAAUCUUCUGGAAACAAAAAUCUAUUCUUUAUUAACGAUUUGAGUCCAAAAUGGAUGAGCUUGUGCUUUGCCAUUUAUAAAAUAUGACUCAGACAUCAACAAAUGAAAGGGUUAAACCUGUAGGAUACAUCUGAGCAGUAAUUCGCCUGUCAUAACAAUAUAUGUGCCUGAUUCACAUGGACUGUUUUGGGAUAGACUCCUUACACCAAUAGAAUUCUACUACCUGUUCUUGCACAUUUAAUUUGGAGUUAGACAGUCAUUAACACAUUAAUUACUAUUCUGUUUGUUUACUAUAGCUCCCUCACUCUUCCCCUAUGUUAUCCUUUUCUGUACAUCCCCAAUAACUCCAAAUGUCACAUUCAUUGUAUCUGUGUCUAUUACAUAUUUCUUCCUCUUCCUGUACCAUUUCCUCCUAGACUGUAAAUUUCUUUGGGAAAGCCUUGUUUACCUCUUGUCUUGUUAAAUAACCCCAAUAGUGCAUGUAAGUAUAGCACCGCAGAAAAUGUUUGCACUAAAUAAGGAUAAUAUAAUGAUGCUAAUUUUAAUCUGAUUAUUAUCUUGUCUCAUUCUUACAUGCAGGUUCCUCAUUCCUUCAUCCCAUGGAACCCUUGAAAAGUCCAUGUUAAUUAUUUCCCAUUUCAUGCAGCCAUAACAGGUAGAAUCCAACCUCCUUCUUUGUAGCUCCAACCACCCUCAAUAGGAUUCCCACUGCUUACCCCAGCUCCCUUUACAACAGCAGUUCCUAUAGCAGUCCAAACCAGUCUUUAUAGCCCAACAACAGUUCAGGUUUUGUUAGUGUCUUCAUUGGAAUAAAAAUUAGAAAUGAAUAAAUCCUGGAUGGUUGAAGGGUCAUAAUAACUGGUUUUGGAACCAUUGCUUUACAACCACUAAUAGAAUAUAGAUUUUAAAUGACUGGAAAUCCCAGACUGCUAAUCAUAUAUCAGUCUACUGCACAGCCUACCAAUCUUGGAAAAAUAUAUUUUUAUACAAAAUGGCAGAGAACAUUCUAAAUAAAUGGCAGCACUUUGUGUAUGACAGCUCUUUGUAUCUAUGUUGGCAUUUUAGCUUGUUUAUUAUAAAUCAGUGGGCACACUAGGUGGCAUCCUGUGCACAGUGGAAACAUUUAUGGUAACUAAAUUGAGAAACCUGGGCAGACUGAAUCUUUAACAUGUAAAUCAACGGCACACCUAUAUAAAAAUAACCAUCCUUAUUUAAUGACAAAAAAGUACAACUCAUUUCAUCUAUAUACAUCAAAUUAUGUACAAAUCACAAUAGAGAAUGCACGGAUGUAAUUCAUCUAAAUACAUAACAACAAUAGCAAUACAAGCAUAAUGGAAAAAAAUACAAAAAUUACAGAAACUAAAAGAAUAACUGCUGAGACACAUUACCUAGUUACUGUGAUUACGUACAGAUGAAUUACAUCCAUGCUUUGUAUAUCAUUAGUUGUAUAUAGAUGAAAUACAUGUUAUAUUUUGUCAUUAAAUAAAGAUUGUUAUUUUUAAAUACUUGACAUAAGGGGUGCCAUUGAUUUAUAUGUUAUAGACUUUUGAUUAGACCACACACUGAAGUGAUUUCUUCAACCUUUAGCACCUUAUUUUACAUUCUGUUUGUAAAUUGAUGUCCCUACUCAUAUUAACCAUUGCAGACUGAAUCUCUAUCUGACUUGAUGAGAAAAUUCUGUACACAAUUCACCUGGUGCUAUAUAUGUGAAGUCAACACUUCGCAAUGUCCUGGAUCUUUGUUUAGAAACAUUACCUUAAUGUGCCACCUAUAUCACAUUACAGCAUGAUAAAAUGUUACACGUCUAAGCAUUUGGGAUUUAAUUGUCAGUCAUAAGCUAAAAUAGACACUGACAACAGAGCCACACAGCAGUUGUAGCAUCAGCCCCACUUUCCAUAUUAGAAUGACAUCCCAGGGCAUCUACAUGAAUGGAUUGGUCACUGAAAGUAAGUGGUGUUGAAUUCCCAAAACAGUGUUUUAACCGAGACAUUCUCCCCGUCCAGUUGUAGUAUUUUUCAGUAUCUACAACUGGCAUACUGUUUUAAUAAGUACAGGCAAAGUAACUAAACACCUAAAUUUAUAGCAUAACCUGUGGCUAAAGUAGACCCUGAAAUAGACAAUGAAUGAGUUUGUGGAUUUAUUAAGUGUAGCACUUGGUGCAAUAGUAAUUAUCAUGAACUUCAGGGUGAGAACCACAGUUUGCCAUGUCCAUAUGCACAACAGACUAUGUGGUUGUACAUCCUACAAAUCCUGGAACUGCAUGUAAACAUGAAAUCUAGGAACAUCAUCUAGGAACAAGAUCAAAAUGGAUAGUUACAUAUAUGAAUCCACAAUGCUUAUAGAGAUUAGCUAAAAUGAGACAUUCAUCUCUGAGAACUCAUUGUAGCUAUAGAGGGCAGUGUGGAAAUCCAAGAUCCAGAACCCACUUUGAAAAGUUGCCAAAGUGUAUCAAGAAAUAUUCUGAGUGAUGUCAUUUAGCCCUAUGAAUAUAAAAUGGGAUUUCCUCCAUGACAAGACGCUGUUCAUCGGAAAAAGGACAAGACACCGCAAUUAUCUAUGCCUUAGAAGUAUGGUCCCAUCCAUAGUGGAUCAAGUUAACUUGGUGACCCUAGUAUUAGCAGUGAGCUAUUAAUAAUGAAAGCCUAAAUGUGCAAAGGAGUCAUGUGUAAGAUGUACAGAAUAGCAAUUAAUAUCACCAGCUAUAAGGACAGAAUUAAAUUUGGCUGAUUUACCUGAUUCAACUUUUUGUUGAUUACGCCUGAUAUUACUGGGGAAUGUUUUUUUUUUUUUUUUUACUCUCUGUAAAGUCACUGUCUAUAUAUGUCUAUUCUCUCUCUCUCUUAAUUGUUCUUAAGUGAGUCAGUGCAAAAUCAAAAGCCAUUUCUCAGUUGCCAACUUUAAUGUACGCUGUUAGAGAAAUCCCAUGACUUUGCUGGCUGGUAAAAGAGAGUUAAAUAUUAGCAUGGGAGCUUUAAUGAUGAGAAUUGUAACAAUCUAUUUGCUGAUGUUGUGUAAGAGUGGUGGGUAGAGAAAGCUAAUGGCAGUUUAAGAUUGAUGAAAAAAAUAUAUAGCUUAAGAAAUUUUAUUACAUUCUGUCUGAAAAUGAGGGCGUCUGUAAAAAUAAAUGUGUGUUGCUCAAUUCUGGGAUUAGUGCAAUAUUUUUUACAAAGGUGUUAAUUCAAAAAUAAAAUCUAAAAAUCUAAUUAAAGAAACAGUCAGUAGCCAUAUGGCCACUAUAGCCUGCUAUUGUGCCCUUCCAUUGUAAGUAGUCAAACCGCUUGCAAACAGUUUGAUAACUUGCUUGGAAUCUGCCUGGCUCUGAUUUCUUCUUUCUCUGUAGUUACAAAAGGCUGUAGUUGUUGUAGUGAUUGGAAUAUUUCUUUAAAUUAUUUAAUUUCAGAAGAAAAAUAUAUAUUACAAUUUAAGGGCUCCCUAUUAACUAGAAUCUAUAUCUAUAGAUAAUAAAUUAUUGUAUACCUCUUACCAUGCCUAAGAUUCUGUGUAGUAUUGAUACAUCUCUUAAUAAAGCAAUAGACUGAGCAUUCCGAGAAUUCUGUUUUAUUCUGGCAUGGUGCCAAAAGAUAGGAGCAAAGCAGAUGUGGUACCCAUACUUAAAAAAAGGAAGAAAUACACAGGAAAGUGGAAAUCUGUGAACUUGGCAUCUGCGGAAAUUAUUUGCAGGGUUAUAAAGGGAAACAUUUCUGAGUAGUUUUGUUGUUAGUAGGGUUCACCAUAAAUUUAUGCAGAAAGCAGCAUAGAGUGUAUUCAUUAAAUUGUCAUCAACAGAAAACCUAAUUGCAAAGUUAUGCUAAACCAGCGAGUUUAUACCUAAAUAUUUAGCCUCACUAUAAUUUCAUAUUUAAUGAACAAAUUCGUAAAUCAAUUUACACUUUAUUUUUGUUGCAUUAUGCCUGUACUUAACUGAUCAAGAAAAGAAAUCUGAAAACAGGGGGAAAAAUUUAAUAGUCCAUCGGUUGGAAUUCUAGUAAAUGUAGUAACUGGUGUGCAGCUCACUUGACUUUUCCUAUGAUUGACACGUUUUUCAUGAACUGAUUUAUCUAACAAGCUUGCAAAUGGUACGUGUAAGAACCACAGCUGGGAUAGAGCUUCUAAUUAGCCCUAAUUGAUUUCCUGCAGGACUUUCAGAUGAUGACCAUUUGCUGAGUUUACCAUAUUGUUAAGCACUAGACCUGGGCCCUGCUGAAAUUUUUGUUUAGUCUGAACUGAAUUUGUCCAUUUGCUCAUUCAUUUUCAGGUGAAAUUUAGCAAUUAUUUUUGUUUUGGAAUUUCGUACAGACAAAUGAAUUUUCAUUCAGCCAAAUUCACAAUGGCUGAGCAUGUUCCUUUUCAGCCAUGAUUCUGGAUUCCACUCAUGGUGCUAAAAAAAAAAGAGAUGAUUGGUGGGAACAAAAGAUGAUUGAUGUCUAGGGGACACUCAAUAAAUGUUGAUUUUAUUCACAGAUCAAGUGAGCAAUGGGGGGGCAGUUAAAUUAUAUAUAUAUAUAUAUAUAUAUAUAUAUAUAUAUAUAUAUAUAUAUAUUAAUUAUAGACAAAGCAAGAAAAUGGGGGAUGGGUCUGCGCCACUGUUCACAACAGAUAAUGAUAUUAAGUCCAAUGGGAUCUAUAUCGUUGUAUCCAAAGUUCCAGAUAUCCAGAAGAUGUCAAUGACGUGGAGGAUAAUCCAAAUAUAUAACAAUAGAAGAGUUCUUACUUACAGUUGACAGAGCUUAAUCCAGCUCUGGUGUGAAUGGCUUACAGCGGUAUUAUCCCCGCUUGCAGGAAAUACGGCAAGUAUCCUCUUCUAUGUAGUGGCAGAUAACCAAGUUGGAAAUAAAAAUGGAAACAAUAAUGGUGCAGUAUGUUCCACACAUGCGAUAAAAGAUAUAAAAUAUAAUAGAUACACUCACAUUCGGUAGAGCUUCAGCUAGCUCUAGUUAGUUAGGCGUGCAGCGGUAUAAUCCCCGCUUGUAGGAUAUGGGAUGAGUGAUCUUGAUGCGAAUAUCAGUAGCUCGGAGAGAAGAUAAAACAGCGAUAGUGCUCUCAAUAAAAUCUUUGGUGAUAAAAUAAAAUAAUAAAAUAUACUCACAAUAUAUAGGGCAGACUAACUGCUCUAUGUAACAGCGUAGGUGGUAUAAUCCCCACCUAGGAUUCUUUGGAGUAUUAUAUCCAGGAAAUAAAAAUAAUAAAAGAAGUAUACAGUAUAAAAUAUAUAUAAAAGCCAGGUAGUAGUAAAAGAUGAUGGUUUCAACGUAAAAAUGGCCAAAAUCUUUUUAUUAACAGUAUAUAAAAACAGUAAAAGUAUCCAAGCGCGUUUUGCCAGUAUAAGGCUUUAUCAAUGGAUAGCAAACAUUUCAACCUGGCUGGUUAGAAUUUAUAUAGGUAUAGAGAUAAUUUAAAAUUGGCGCCAAAAUUGUACAACCAAUAGUAAAACAGAUAAUUUUUGCACAUACAUAACAGCAUUUGAUGGUAAGAAUUCGAUAGAUGUAGCUUAUCUGAUGCUUUUAACAUAAUUGUUUUACAAAAACGAGCUUUAUUGGUUAAGAAUUAACAUGUUUUCGGCCGGAUCACAUGACGCGACAUCACUUCCGGCCGCACGGAAUUGUGGGGCAUGUAGUUAUAAGAUAAACUACAUGUGUGUAAAGCCCUGUAUUGGGCUGAAAGGGAAAAGGAGUGGUUAGGGAACACUUGGGGAGGGACUUGGGAGGUAAAAAUAAUGGCGGCGGCCAUCUUGGAUGGGGAAUGUACUCUUAAGAAAUAACAUAAUAAGUGGCCAUAUUACUGGUGGCAUAUAUAAGCACCUCAAUAAAGUUUAAAACAAUAAAACUACUAAUGCAUUUAAAGUUAAACAUAUAGUAUCAUAGUAAAAACAUAUUAAGAACCUAAUAAUAAUAGUAAAUAAAAUGAUAUAAAACAAAUAAAAUGAUAUUAUUAAAUAAAAUUGAAUAAAUCAAAGUCUGCAUUUAAACCAUUAGGGAUAAGUGUUUUUAAAUUAAAAACCCAUUCCAUUUCACAUUUACCUAAAAUGUUUUUGAUAUUGCCUCCUCUCCAUGGAAUAAUGCAUUUUUUUAUGCCGAUACAUUUUAAAAGACCAGGAUCAUUAUUAUGGAUAGUAAAAUGUUUAGACACAGUAUGAUUUUGGCAUCCAUUAAUAAUAUUUUGGCAAUGUUCUCCUAAUCGUGUUUUGAGACUUCUUGUGGUCAUACCCACGUAUUGGAGCCCACAUGGGUAUUCUAGGAGGUAGAUUCCAUUUUUAGUAGUACACGUAAUAAAAUCUUUAAUAUUAUAUGUUAUAUUGGUUUUAUUAGAUUGGAAAUGUGUGGUUUUAGGUUUGACCGACUGAUCAGUACAUUUACAAACUUUGCAGCGUUUGCAUUUAAAGAACCCUUUAGUGUUGGGUAAAAAACAGGAUUGUGAUUUCUUUGUACUUUCUUUAGUAAAGUUGGAAGUUAAAAUGGAUUUCAACCUAGGGGCUCCUCUGAAAACAUGUUUGGUCUUUCUGGUAUGAUUUGCUUAAGAGUAUCAUCAUGUUGUAAUAAGUGCCAGUGUUUAUUUAUAUUUUUUUUAACAUGGUUACUUUUAUUAUUAAAAUUAAAAAUAAUCGGAAGACUGAAGUGGUUAUCGGAGGUUUUUUCUUUAUAGUUUAGAAGUUCUGUUCUUUCUUUGGUUCUAACUGCAUCUAUUGUCUUAUUAAGAUUGUCUAAUGGAUAAUUUUUUUCUGUAAAUUGAUUUUUUAAAAAGACAGCUUGUGAAUUAAAAUCUUCUAUUUGAGAGCAAUUUCUUCUCAAUCUUAAAAAUUGACUUUUAGGUGCACUUUCCAGCCAUGGUUUGUAGUGGCAACUUGAGCGAUCAAUAGCUGUAUUCGUGCAUACUUUUUUUUUUUUUAAGUUUUAGUAUUUAAAAUGUCGUCUUUGAUAAAAAUUUCCAGAUCUAAAAAAAUUAAUAGUGGUUUUACUGUAUUCACAAGAUAAAAUAAUACCUCUGUUGUUACAAUUAAGGUGAUCAAUAAAUAAUUUUAAAGAAUCUUCGGGGCCAUUCCAAAUAAAAAAGAGGUCAUCUAUAUAUCUAAAAUAGGUAACCAAGUUCGCCCGCCAGGCAUGCUCGCCCCAAAUGGCAGUGGAUUCCCAGUCUGCCAUAAAGAGGUUAGCAUAGCUGGGGGCGAACCUGGUCCCCAUGGCCGUGCCUCGUUUUUGUAACUAAAAACAAUUAAAAAACCAAAAAUAAUUGUUCUUUAAAAUUAUAUUAAUACCUUCAAUUAUAAAAUCAAUUUGGGUGUGAGAGAUUCUAUUUUCAUGUGUAAGGAUAAAUGGAUAAGGGUAAAUAUGAAAUGGAAUGCGUUUUUAAUUUAAAAACACUUAUCCCUAAUGGUUUAAAUGCAGACUUUGAUUUAUUCAAUUUUAUUUAAUAAUAUCAUUUUAUUUGUUUUAUAUCAUUUUAUUUACUAUUAUUAUUAGGUUCUUAUUAUGCUUUUACUAUGAUACUAUAUGUUUAACUUUAAAUGCAUUAGUAGUUUUAUUGUUUUAAACUUUAUUGAGGUGCUUAUAUAUGCCACCAGUAAUAUGGCCACUUAUUAUGUUAUUUCUUAAUAGUACAUUCCCCAUCCAAGAUGGCUGCCGCCAUUAUUUUUACCUCCCAAGUCCCUCCCCAAGUGUUCCCUAUCCACUCCUUUUCCCUUUCAGCCCAAUACAGGGCUUUACACACAUGUAGUUUAUUUUAUAACUACAUGCCCCACAAUUCCGUGCGGCCGGAAGUGACGUCGCGCUUAUGACGCGCGUCACGUGAUCCAGCCGAAAACAUGUUAAUUCUUAACCAAUAACGCUCGUUUUUGUAAAACAAUUAUGUUAAAAGCAUCAGAUAAGCUACAUCUAUCGAAUUCUUACCAUCAAAUGCUGUUAUGUAUGUGCAAAAAUUAUCUGUUUUACUAUUGGUUGUACAAUUUUGGCGCCAAUUUUAAAUUAUCUCUAUACCUAUAUAAAUUCUAACCAGCCAGGUUGAAAUGUUUGCUAUCCAUUGAUAAAGCCUUAUACUGGCAAAACGCGCUUGGAUACUUUUACUGUUUUUAUAUACUGUUAAUAAAAAGAUUUUGGCCAUUUUUACGUUGAAACCAUCAUCUUUUACUACUACCUGGCUUUUAUAUAUAUUUUAUACUGUAUACUUCUUUUAUUAUUUUUAUUUCCUGGAUAUAAUACUCCAAAGAAUCCUAGGUGGGGAUUAUACCACCUACGCUGUUACAUAGUGCAGUUAGUCUGCCCUAUAUAUUGUGAGUAUAUUUUAUUAUUUUAUUUUAUCACCAAAGAUUUUAUUGAGAGCACUAUCGCUGUUUUAUCUUCUCUCCGAGCUACUGAUAUUCGCAUCAAGAUCACUCAUCCCAUAUCCUACAAGCGGGGAUUAUACCGCUGCACGCCUAACUAACUAGAGCUAGCUGAAGCUCUACCGAAUGUGAGUGUAUCUAUUAUAUUUUAUAUCUUUUAUUGCAUGUGUGGAACAUACUGCACCAUUAUUGUUUCCAUUUUUAUUUCCAACUUGGUUACCUGCCACUACAUAGAAGAGGAUACUUGCCGUAUAUCCUGCAAGCAGGGAUAAUACCGCUGUAAGCCAUUCACACCAGAGCUGGAUUAAGCUCUGUCAACUGUAAGUAAGAACUCUUCUAUUUUUAUAUAUUUGGAUUAUCCUCCACGUCAUUGACAUCUUCUGGAUAUCUUAUAAAGUAGAACUUUGGAUACAACGAUAUAGAUCCCAUUGGACUUAAUAUCAUUAUCUGUUGCGCACAGUGGCACAGACCCAUCCCCCAUUUUCUUGCUUUGUCUAUUUAUUUCCAGGGACAUUAGAGGGAGUCCUUGUUUGGGACUGCUGCCUUCCUGAUUAGCGCUGACUCUACUCCUUGUUUUGAUAUAUUUAUUAUAUAUUUAAAGGAACACUGUAUCCUACAUUUAUUCCCCCCUUCCUAGUGGCCCCUAAUGUCAAUAUUUUAGUAAUUAGAAGUCUUGGAAGCGUAACUUAAAGACACGGCUCAAGCCCUCCAGGUAUGACAGCUGGAACUGAGCUUCCUGGCUCUCAUACCUUAACAUACCAUGAUGUCAAGUGUGCAUGUGCAGUGCCAUCACGGUCUUCCAUAUAGAAUCAUUGCAUGCAAUUGCAUUGGAUUGGCUGGUCAUCCUGGAUUCACACCUGAAGAAUGACAUAACACUAAGAGGAGGUGUUUUUUUUUAUUUUUUAUUUACACAGGGGAAAAGGACUGAAAUUAGAAGGGGCAUCAGGACUGUAGCAUUAGUAAUAAAUAUAUGCAUUCCUAACACUAUAGUGUAUUUUUAAUAAAUAUAUACUAUAAAUACAUAAAUAUAGAUUGUUAUUUUCUUUAACUACUCUUCCAAUUUUCUCCCUUUUUGGUUUCCUUUUAUCACUUGAUCUGUAAACCAAAUGGUGCGACAAUGCUACUAUCAGUGUUCUGCAAAAGAUAUACAUACUAUUUUAAGAUGUAUACAUUUUGCACUACACUGAUUUGACUACUUUCACACCCUUUUGGUUCAUUCUGGUUGAUUUGGUUCGCAAAUUGGUUUUUCUGUACAAAAAUUUUCUGAGUCAAUCCAACAUACAGCGGAUUUUUUUCAACGUAAACAAGUCUAAUACUCAUUGUGUAUAAGUGCAGUGUUGCACAGCAGUAAAACAUACACCACACCAGGAAUAUAAAGAUGUAUUUUAGAGAUGUGACAUUAUUUUUUGAAUGUAGUAAGUUUGGAUUUGUGUGGAGUAUUAGUGUGAAUUCACAAGCCUACUUAUGUACAAUAUUGCUGUAUGUGUGAAUGCAGAGUGGUAUGUGUAUAGAGUGUUAGUGUAUAUGAGGGGUAGUUCACCAAAUUGUAGAUGCACACACUAGGAAACUAGGAAAAGUCCUCUUAGCUGUACCAAAGUAGGGAUUUAUAAAAAUAAUCAGCUUAAUAAAGGCUCAGGUAUUUAUUUAUUUAUUUAUUCAUUUAUAAAAUAUUUUAUCAGUAAAAAUACAUUGAGAUUUCAUUUGUUUUUAAGUAUGUCCUGGGUCCACAAAACAUUGCAUUGAUACAAUAGGAUACAUAAAAUACAAAAACAAUAUUAAUACACAAUAUACACAAAAUUUAACAUUGAACAGGUAGGAAAUAUAUAAUCAACCAUGACAGGUAUAUUCUGUUUUGAGGUAUGUAGAGAGGAAUCUCUUAAAGUACUUUAGGCUUGGGGAAGAUUUGAAAGUGUGCGAGAGGUCAUUCCAUAAUUGCGAUGCUCUGUAGCAAAAGGAGGAUCGGGCUACUUUCUUUUUGUAUUGAGGUAGACCAGGGCUUGAGUCCUGCAGGAACGCGUGGGAACGGCGUUCCUGUUGUUCCUGCAGGCACUCAGGGGGUGGCAAAAAAUAUCGCCCCCAAAUGUCCUCUGUGUUCCCUCUGUCAUGGGGGGAGCCAGCUGAUGGACCACCCCCCCCAUAGGGCGCCUGUCUCCCUGUCAGACGCGGCGAGGGAGCUGUGUCCUCUCUGCUCUUCUCCCUUGCGCUCCGUUUGCUGAUGCCGGGAACCAGAAUAUUGCGUGAUAUUCUGGCACCCAGCAUCAGUAGACAUCCCGCACAGCUCCCUCGCUGCGUCUGACAGGGAGACAGGCUCCCGCCUCACUGAAGCCCCACUGGACCCCAGGGACAGGUCCACGCCAGCUCUCCAGGUAGGGAGGCUGUGUGGACAUUUUAAAAUUUCAAAAAAUAAUAAUAAUUUGUGUGUUUCUGUGAGUGUAUAUGUGUGUGUCUGUCAGGAAUUUUAUUUCAUUUAUUACUGGCCCUUUAGGGCGGCAUAAAAGUACACACCCCUUGGUUAUUUAAACUCCAAUUUCCAAUACCUCAGGGGACAAUUAAUAUGUUAAUCUGACUGAUUGCAUCAACUUCCUUCCUAAUCAUUUGGAUCACUCCUAGAGAGACCAUGUGUUCCAUCACCGGACCCCUUCUGAAUCUCCUCUUCAUACCCCUAUAUCUUUGAUUACCUGGUUAACUAAUUCGGACUGGCCUUGACUCUGCUUUUGGAAUUUCCUUCAAUACUGCUUGAUCUCCUAUUGAAUGACCUCGGACUGGAUAAAGGACAUUGCUUAUGGACUAACCCUGUACACAUCACCUAAACUUCUAUUUUCA